rnacentral:piRNA from 1 species
UGAGAAUGGUAUCUGGGUGUUAUGGA